GAUGCCGCCGAUAAUGACGUCCUGCUCGUCUUGUGUUUUUCUUGGCUGGGGUCUUUGUCUCCUUCUGCCUAAAAAAGUAGAGCGGGGAGCUCCAACCGUGGAAUCACUGCCAGAUCCAGAUGACAUCGAGCCUCCCCGGCGCUGCAGCCGAGUGAACAGUGGUGUUGCGGUACCUGACAAGUCUUGCCAUUUAUACACGCGUUUAUUCUGAUAGUCCUCAGAAUCUCUGAUAAACUUUUGACGUUUAGUGCCUUCAAUGUCUCGCUUGAGAUCAGCACAAAUUUUAUCCACCUUGGACUUCAGAGUAGUUAAUUCAUCUGCAGGUAAU